rfam:Octopus bimaculoides Scaffold168759_contig_13, whole genome shotgun sequence.
UUUAUACACAAUUUUAUAGACUUAAUACACAUCACUCAUAAAAUAAAUAUUCACUCUUAUUUUUCCCAUAAACAAAAGAAAAGUAUCCCGGCUACCACAUCCAAGGAAGGCAGCAGGCGCGCAAAUUAUCCACUCCCGGCACGGGGAGGUAGUGACGAAAAAUAACGACGCGGGACUCUGUCGAGGCCCCGCGAUCGGAAUGAGUACACAUACAUCUGCCACAUAAAAUAAGCAUGAAUAUUUCAUGGAAUUGAACUUAUGCAUAUGUGUUAA